UACGGGGGGAGCAAGCGUUGUUCGGAUUUACUGGGCGUAAAGGGCGCGUAGGCGGUCGUGACAAGUCACUUGUGAAAUCUCCGGGCUUAACUCGGAACGGCCAAGUGAUACUGUCGGACUAGAGUACAGAAGGGGCAACUGGAAUUCUCGGUGUAGCAGUGAAAUGUGUAGAUAUCGAGAGGAACACCAGUGGCGAAGGCGAGUCUCUGGACGACUCCUGACACUGAGGCACGAAAGCUAGGGGAGCAAACAGG
rnacentral:rRNA from 1 species